UAUUUUUCAAUGUGAAAAUUGCACUGUCAUCUUAUUUCAUACGUUUCAAUUGCUUAUAUUAAAUGAGCAUUGUUUUCAAUAUUAGAUCUUAUGUAAUUACGAAUUUUAUCAUCAUGCUAUCUGAAAAUCAAUUAUACAGAAACUGGUUAGAAAAACUUUUAGGUGACAGUCCGCACUAACUGAUAGAAGAAGAAAGAGAAACACAAUCGGCGUAUGGACGAUUGAAAUACCAACUCCAAAUAUGAAGUGAGUAUUCAAUUCAAUAGACUGUUGGUGUUUUGCCUAAACAUGCCGACAAAAAAAUCACCAGAAUACGCUAGCUCACUGGCAAUGAGUCAUCAAACCCAACGGUACGACAUAACACAACUCCAAACAUGUACAACUGAGGUGUCAACAGUGUCAGACACGACUAAUAUGAGUGCCGUAGAUCAAGUGUAGAGGAAGUGGGUGAUGAUAAGCAACGUGGACCAUUGACCGGACACGCACGUAACUUUUGAACAGUUACUUAAAAUUCUUUGAUAAAGGGACCCAGUAUUUCCGGAACAUUUUUAAAAGUUAAGUUGAAAAAUAUACUUAAGCCAUAUACUUCCCUCAGGGGUGUAUAUGGUUUACAUAUACGAUGGGUAUGAAGAAUCCAGG